rfam:Ornithorhynchus anatinus chromosome 3, whole genome shotgun sequence.
CCCCACUCAAGGUCGCACCUGGAGAGUUUCCAGUACUCUACCAGUUUCAUCUCCUGGAGGGAGAGUCAAGCAGAGGCAUACCUAUUCCAUUCCUAGCUUGGACAGCGGCUAGAGAGUGGAAAGCAAUCUGCUGCAAGU